GCGGGCUUAGCUCAGUUGGGAGAGCGUCAGACUGAAGUUACACUUCGGACAUCAAAUCUGAAGGUCGUGUGUUCGAUCCACACAGACCGCA
rfam:Gaeumannomyces graminis var. tritici R3-111a-1 unplaced genomic scaffold supercont2.1, whole genome shotgun sequence.